UGAAAAGCUCGGGGAUGACUUGUGGGUAGCGGUGAAAUUCCAAUCGAGCCCGGAGAUAGCUGGUUCUCCCCGAAAUAGCUUUAGGGCUAGCCUCAAGGUGAGAGAUACGGAGGUAGAGCACUGAAUGUCCUAGGGGGUAUUGCACCUACCGAAGACUAUCAAACUCCGAAUGCCGUCAUCUUAUACUUGGGAGUCAGACUGUGGGUGAUAAGAUUCAUAGUCGAAAGGGCAACAGCCCAGAUCGUCAGCUAAGGUCCCUAAAUGUAAGUUAAGUGGUAAAGGAUGUGGGAUUGCACAGACAACCAGGAUGUUGGCUUAGAAGCAGCCACUCAUUCAAAGAGUGCGUAAUAGCUCACUGGUCGAGUGAUCCUGCGCCGAAGAUUUCCGGGGCUAAA
rnacentral:rRNA from 1 species